rnacentral:rRNA from 1 species
UGGGGAAUAUUGCACAAUGGGCGCAAGCCUGAUGCAGCCAUGCCGCGUGUGUGAAGAAGGCCUUCGGGUUGUAAAGCACUUUCAGCGGGGAGGAAGGCGGUGAGGUUAAUAACCUCAUCGAUUGACGUUACACGCAGAAGAAGCACCGGCUAACUCCGUGCCAGCAGCCGCGGUAAUACGGAGGGUGCAAGCGUUAAUCGGAAUUACUGGGCGUAAAGCGCACGCAGGCGGUCUGUCAAGUCGGAUGUGAAAUCCCCGGGCUCAACCUGGGAACUGGAUUCGAAACUUGCAGGCUAGAGUCAUGUAGAGGGGGGUAGAAUUCCAGGUGUGGCGGUGAAAUGCGUGGAGAUCUGGGGGAAUACCGGUGGCGAAGGCGGCCCCCUGGACAAAGACUGACGCUCAGGUGCGAAAGCGUGGGGGGCAAACAGG